GACGAACGCUGGCGGCGUGCUUAACACAUGCAAGUCGAACGGAAAGGCCCUGCUUGCAGGGUGCUCGAGUGGCGAACGGGUGAGUAACACGUGGGUGAUCUGCCCCUUACUUUGGGAUAAGCCUGGGAAACUGGGUCUAAUACUGGAUAGGACCAUGCUGUAGGUGGUGUGGUGGAAAGAUUAGUUUCGGUAAGGGAUGAGCUCGCGGCCUAUCAGCUUGUUGGUGGGGUAAUGGCCUACCAAGGCGUCGACGGGUAGCCGGCCUGAGAGGGUGGACGGCCACAUUGGGACUGGGAUACGGCCCAGACUCCUACGGGAGGCAGCAGUGGGGAAUAUUGCACAAUGGGCGCAAGCCUGAUGCAGCGACGCCGCGUGGGGGAUGACGGCCUUCGGGUUGUAAACUCCUUUCAGCCAUGACGAAGCCCUUGUGGUGACGGUAGUGGUAGAAGAAGCACCGGCUAACUACGUG
rnacentral:rRNA from 1 species